AGAGUUUGAUCAUGGCUCAGGAUGAGCGCUAGCUACAGGCUUAACACAUGCAAGUCGAGGGGAAACGGACAUCGAAAGCUUGCUUUUGAUGGGCGUCGACCGGCGCACGGGUGAGUAACGCGUAUCCAACCUGCCCACCACUUGGGGAUAACCUUGCGAAAGUAAGACUAAUACCCAAUGACGUCUCUAGAAGACAUCUGAAAGAGAUUAAAGAUUUAUCGGUGAUGGAUGGGGAUGCGUCUGAUUAGCUUGUUGGCGGGGUAACGGCCCACCAAGGCGACGAUCAGUAGGGGUUCUGAGAGGAAGGUCCCCCACAUUGGAACUGAGACACGGUCCAAACUCCUACGGGAGGCGA
rnacentral:rRNA from 1 species